rnacentral:rRNA from 1 species
AAUCAACGCUGGCGGCGUGCCUCAGACAUGCAAGUCGAACGCGAAAGUUUCCUUCGGGAGAUGAGUAGAGUGGCGCACGGGUGAGUAACACGUGAGUAAUUUACCUUCGGGUGGGGAAUACCAAUCGGAAACGAUUGUUAAUACCGCAUAAUGCAGCGGCAUCAAAUGAUGACAGUUGUUAAAGCGGGGGAUUGGAGCAAUCCGACCUCGCGCCUGAAGAGAAGCNCGGGGCAGAUUAGCUAGUUGGUAAGGUAAUGGCUUACCAAGGCGACGAUCUGUAACCGGCCUGAGAGGGCGGUCGGUCACACUGACACUGAAUAACGGGUCAGACUCCUACGGGAGGCAGCAGUCGGGAAUUUUGGGCAAUGGGCGCAAGCCUGACCCAGCAACG